rnacentral:rRNA from 1 species
GAUGAACGCUAGCGGCAGGCUUAAUACAUGCAAGUCGUGGGGCAGCACAGUCCGCCGAAAGGCGGAUGGGUGGCGACCGGCAAACGGGUGCGGAACACGUACGCAACCUUCCUACAGGCGGGGAAUAGCCCAGAGAAAUUUGGAUUAAUACCCCAUAAAAUUUUAAGAUGGCAUCAUCUUAUUAUUAAGCUUCGGCACCUGAGAUGGGCGUGCGGCUGAUUAGGUAGGGUCGGGGUAACGGCCCACCAAGCCUGCGAUCAGUAGCUGAUGUGAGAGC